ensembl:lncRNA
GGUGGCCAGGGAGGGCUCUGUAUUUCUGAGUUUGUGCCUGGGAUGUCCACGUGGGAGUGAGCUUGUGAUCUUGACCUAGUGUGUGUCUCUCAUCUCUGUGUAUUGUUGGAGCGGGAUAGAUGCAUUUAUGGGUGUGACAGUGUGCCCUUGAUGACAUUUACGACCUUGUGAACACAAGGCCAGGGUCCUUCCUAGGGAAGGACCUAUGCGAGUGCGAAGCCUUGACUGACACAUAGACCUCAUGGAGCUUGGAGUCAGCUCCCGUCCAGUUCAAGCUGGCUAGGACUGGAUCAGACCACUCACCCUAAAACUGGGCCUGCACAGAAGUCAGAUGAAUGACCUUUGGACAACAAAGGCCAAAAACUCCACCCUCAGAUCCUACUGCUGCUGCUGCUGCUAAGUCACUUCAGUCGUGUCCGACUCUGUGUGACCCCAUAGACGGCAGCCCACCAGGCUCCCCCGUCCCUGGGAUUCUCCAGGCAAGAACACGAGUGGGUUGCCAUUUCCUUCUCCAGUGCAUAAAAGUGAAAAGUGAAAGGGAAGUCGCUGAGUCGUGUCUGACUCCUAGUGACCCCAUGGACUUCAGCCUACCAGGCUCCUCCGUCCAUGGGAUUUUCCAGGCAAGAGUACUGGAGUGGGGUCCCAUUGCCUUCUCCCCAGAUCAUGCUAAGCACCUCCAUUGUUGAGCAUACAUCCUAGAAAGAAGCCAUGUCACUCAGAUGCACCUGCACAGAACCCCAAUUACCUCACCUUUUCUCCACCUCCAACCACCUUUCCCAAUGCUGAGACUCUGCUUCUUUAUCCCAUAAACAUCCCCAGCCCUUCACCUUCAGGGAGGCAGAUCUGAGAUUUCUUCUCCUGUCUCCUCACUUGGCUGCCUUGUUAAUAAACCCUUUCUCUGCUGCAAAUAGUGGCAGAUUUUGUAAUUUUUGAGCUCCAGAAUCACUACGGAUGGUGACUGUGCCAUGAAAUUAACAGACCUUGCUCCUUGGAAGAAAAGCUAUGACAAACAGCAUAUUAAAAAGCAGAGACAUUACUUUGCUGACAAAGGUCCAUCAAAGCUAUGGUUUUUCCAGUAGUCAUGUAUGGAUGUGAGGGUUGGACCAUAAAGAAGGCUGAGUACCAAAGAAUUGAUGCUUUCGAACUGUGGUGCUGGAAAAGACUCUUGAGAGUCCCUUGGACUGCAAGGAGAUCAAACCAGUCAAUCCUAAAGGAAAUCAACCCUGAAUAUUCAUUGGAAGGACUGAUGCUGAAGAUGAAACUCCAAUACUUUGGCCACCUGAUGCAAAGGACUGACUCACUGGAAAAGACCCUGAUUCUGGGAAAGACUGAGGGCAGGAGGAGAAGGGGAUGACAGGGAAUGAGAUGAUUGGAUGGCAUCACCGACUCAAUGGACCAGUUUGAGCAAACUCCAGGAGAUAGUGAAGGACAGGGAAACCUGAUGUGCUGCAGUCCAUGGGGUUGCAAGGAUUCAGACAUGACUUAGCAACUCAACAGCAAUAACUGCUGCAAACUUCUGCAUCUCAGCAUCUGACAUGCUGCAUGUCAAGCAGAUGAACCUGGUUCAGUAGCACUAAGUCUGCCUGCCCAGGUUUCAGGCUGUCUUUGCUCAGCCUCAGUACUGGACAGUCAGGGCUGAACCAUCCUUCCCCCCGCCGACUCACAUCUCCCUCCAGUCUCAUUCUGGAUUCUGUAUCCACUCAGCACAGCCAGGAUGGUGAAGAGAGGCUCAAAGUGGUCCCAGGGGCCAUGGGAGUGGGACAGCAAGGAAGAGGGGCCCUUUUGGAGCCCAUGCUGAAUAAGGGGAAAGACUGGACUUUUGUCUGUUUGCUCACUGCUUAUCCUCUGUCUUAGCAC